GUGACUCCUUCGAGCCUUCCAGAAAGCAUGUGAGAAGGAAGCCCUACUCUACUACCAAGGUGACUUCAGGGAGCACAUUCAAGGAGGUUUUAAGAAGAUACGCCGUGUACACCAUCCAGCAUCGGAGGCAUCAUGACUCCUGGGUAAAGAAGAAGAUGUACCCACAAGAAGAUGACUUCCAUCAUACAGUUUUCAGCAACCUUGAAAGACUGGACAAGCUUCAGCCCACUCUUGAAGCCUCUGAGGAGUCUCUAGUUCACAAGGACAGAGGAGAUGGAGAGAGGCCGGUCAAUGCGAGGGUGGUGCAGGUGGCCCCUCUGAGGUGUGAAUCUACUCGCUGUUGACUACUGGCUUAAAGGGAGCUCCCGGGGUGAGUGACAGAGGCGGGAUUGGACCCUGGCAGUCUGACGGCAACACCUGUGUUCCUCUGCAAUGGGCCAUGGACAACAUUACACACCUUU
rnacentral:lncRNA from 1 species